GACGAACGCUGGCGGCGUGCUUAACACAUGCAAGUCGAGCGGUAAGGCCCUUUCGGGGGUACACGAGCGGCGAACGGGUGAGUAACACGUGGGUGACCUGCCCUCAGCUCUGGGAUAAGCCCGGGGAAACUGGGGUCUAAUACUGGAUAUGACUCCACGGUGCAUGCUGUGGGGUGGAAAGCCUUGUGCGGCUGAGGAUGGGCCCGCGGCCUAUCAGCUUGUUGGUGGGGUGANGGCCUACCAAGGCGACGACGGGUAGCCGGCCUGAGAGGGCGACCGGCCACACUGGGACUGAGACACGGCCCAGACUCCUACGGGAGGCAGCAGUGGGGAAUCUUGCGCAAUGGGCGAAAGCCUGACGCAGCGACGCCGCGUGAGGGAUGACGGCCU
rnacentral:rRNA from 1 species